GUGCCACGCGGUAAUACGUAGGGCGCAAGCGUUAUCCGGAAUUAUUGGGCGUAAAGAGCUUGUAGGCGGUUUGUCGCGUCUGCUGUGAAAAUCCGGGGCUCAACCCCGGACUUGCAGUGGGUACGGGCAGGCUAGAGUGUGGUAGGGGAGACUGGAAUUCCUGGUGUAGCGGUGGAAUGCGCAGAUAUCAGGAGGAACACCGAUGGCGAAGGCAGGUCUCUGGGCCGAUACUGACACUGAGGAGCGAAAGGCGUGG
rnacentral:rRNA from 1 species